CCUACGGGGGGCUGCAGUGGGGAAUCUUGCGCAAUGGGCGAAAGCCUGACGCAGCGACGCCGCGUGGGUGAUGAAGGCCCUCGGGUUGUAAAGCCCUGUGGGGAGGAACGAACCGCGUGGGAGCGAAUACCUUUCACGCUUGACGGUACCUCCUUAGCAAGCAUCGGCUAACUCUGUGCCAGCAGCCGCGGUAAGACAGAGGAUGCGAACGUUGCUCGGAAUUACUGGGCGUAAAGCGCGCGCAGGUUGCCUCGUAAGUCGUGUGUGAAAUCCCU
rnacentral:rRNA from 1 species